rnacentral:rRNA from 1 species
GACGAACGCUGGCGGCGUGCCUAAAACAUGCAAGUCGGACGAGUCACCGCAAGGUGGCUAGUGGCGAACGGCUGAGUAACACGUGAGUGACCUGUCCCUGGGUGGGGGAUAACGGUCCGAAAGGAUCGCUAAUACCGCAUACGACCGCAAGGGUAGAGCCUUGUGGGGAAAGGUAUUUCGCCCGGGGAGGGGCUCGCGGCCCAUCAGGUAGUUGGUGAGGUAACGGCCCACCAAGCCUAUGACGGGUAGCUGGUCUGAGAGGAUGGCCAGCCAGACUGGGACUGAGACACGGCCCAGACUCCUACGGGAGGCAGCAGUUAGGAAUCUUGCGCAAUGGGGGAAACCCUGACGCAGCGACGCCGCGUGGGUGAAGAGGGCCUUCGGGUCGUAAAGCCCUUUUCCGGGGGACGAUAAUGACGGUACCCCGGGAAUAAGCCCCGGCUAACUACGUGCCAGCAGCCGCGGUAAUACGUAGGGGGCAAGCGUUGUCCGGAUUUACUGGGCGUAAAGAGCGCGCAGGCAGCUCCGUAAGUUAGCUGUGAAAUCUCCCGGCUCAACCGGGAGGGGUCAGUUGAUACUGCGGGGCUUGAGGGCGGUAGGGGGAAGAUGGAAUUCCCGGUGUAGUGGUGAAAUGCGUAGAUAUCGGGAGGAACACCGAUGGCGAAAGCGAUCUCCUGGGCCGAUCCUGACGCUGAGGCGCGAAAGCGUGGGGAGCGAACUGAAUUAGAUACUCAGGUAGUCCACGCCUUAAACGAUGGCACUAGGUGUGGGGGGGGGUAUCGACCCCUCCCGUGCCGCAGCUAACGCAAUAAGUGUCCCGCCUGGGGGAGUACGGCCGCAAGGCUA